rnacentral:rRNA from 1 species
UUCGGGUUAGUGGCGGACGGGUGAGUAACGCGUGAGAAUCUGCCCUCAGGAGGGGGAUAACAGCUGGAAACGGCUGCUAAUACCCCAUAUGCCGCGAGGUGAAAUGAAUUUCGCCUGAGGAUGAGCUCGCGUCUGAUUAGCUAGUUGGUGUAGGUAAUGGCUCACCAAGGCAUCGAUCAGUAGCUGGUCUGAGAGGAUGAUCAGCCACACUGGGACUGAGACACGGCCCAGACUCCUACGGGAGGCAGCAGUGGGGAAUUUUCCGCAAUGGGCGAAAGCCUGACGGAGCAACGCCGCGUGAGGGAUGAAGGCCUCUGGGCUGUAAACCUCUUUUAUCAAGGAAGAAGAUCUGACGGUACUUGAUGAAUAAGCCACGGCUAAUUCCGUGCCAGCAGCCGCGGUAAUACGGGAGUGGCAAGCGUUAUCCGGAAUUAUUGGGCGUAAAGCGUCCGCAGGCGGCCCUACAAGUCUGCUGUUAAAAAGUGGAGCUUAACUC